GGCACCAUUUUCCGCCAUUCACACAUCUGAUCUCAAAACAAGCUCCACAGCUCAAGCCAUUGUUGAAGAGGGUAGUGCUCAAAGCUGCAGUGUUUGUCCCAUACCCCUGGAUAUGGAAACCUAUAAACUCAGAGUUUCUGGGGGC